UACGUAGGGUGCGAGCGUUGUCCGGAUUUAUUGGGCGUAAAGCGUGCGUAGGCGGCUGCGCAAGUCGGUUGUGAAACCCCGGGGCUCAACCCCGGAACUGCAUCCGAUACUGCGUGGCUAGAGGUAGGUAGGGGAGAUCGGAAUUCCUGGUGUAGCGGUGAAAUGCGCAGAUAUCAGGAGGAACACCGGUGGCGGAGGCGGAUCUCUGGGCCUUACCUGACGCUCAGGCACGAAAGCUAGGGGAGCGAACAGG
rnacentral:rRNA from 1 species